UGGGGAAUAUUGCACAAUGGGCGCAAGCCUGAUGCAGCCAUGCCGCGUGUAUGAAGAAGGCCUUCGGGUUGUAAAGUACUUUCAGCGGGGAGGAAGGGAGUAAAGUUAAUACCUUUGCUCAUUGACGUUAUCCGCAGAAGAAGCACCGGCUAACUCCGUUCCAGCAGCCGCGGUAAUACGGAGGGUGCAAGCGUUAAUCGGAAUUACUGGGCGUAAAGCGCACGCAGGCGGUUUGUUAAGUCAGAUGUGAAAUCCCCGGGCUCAACCUGGGAACUGCAUCUGAUACUGGCAAGCUUGAGUCUCGUAGAGGGGGGUAGAAUUCCAGGUGUAGCGGUGAAAUGCGUAGAGAUCUGGAUGAAUACCGGUGGCGAAGGCGGCCCCCUGGACGAAGACUGACGCUCAGGUGCGAAAGCGUGGGGAGCAAACAGG
rnacentral:rRNA from 1 species